AAUAUUGGACAAUGGGCGAAAGCCUGAUCCAGCCAUGCCGAGUGUGUGAAGAAGGUCUUCGGAUUGUAAAGCACUUUAAGUUGGGAGGAAGGGUUGUAGUUUAAUACCCUGCACUUUUGACGUUAUCCACAGAAUAAGCACCGGCUAACUUCGUGCCAGCAGCCGCGGUAAUACGAACGGUGCAAGAGUUAAUCGGAAUUACUGGGCGUAAAGCGCGCGUAGGUGGUUCGUUAAGUUGGAAGUGAAAGGCCCGGGCUUAAACUGGGAAUUGCUUUCAAAACUGACGAGCUAGAGUACGGUAGAGGGUAGUGGAAUUUCCUGUGUAGCGGUGAAAUGCGUAGAUAUAGGAAGGAACAUCAGUGGCGAAGGCGACUACCUGGACUGAUACUGACACUGAGGUGCGAAAGCGUGGGGAGCAAACAGG
rnacentral:rRNA from 1 species